AGGUCUGAAGGUGAAAAUGCAAGAAACAUCAGGUCUAUAAAUACUCUGCACCAGUUUUGCUGUCCAGCUCCAUUGUACCAUACUCUGCUAACUCUCCCUGCCACACACUCAGAGUACAGCAGCACCCGUGAAAGCAAAAAUAUAUUGCAAAGGACGUUAUAGUGCCAAAGAAAUACCAUCAUUUUCUUGUACUACCUAUCUUCAUAAAAUUUGUUCAACACCUCUAUGAGGACUUCCUUGGAAACAAGAAAGAACCUUUCAACUGAUCCACGCAG